CAGAAGCGCGGAUGCCUUUGACGCCAGAGGCAGCCCAGGCCGCGCGUGACAUCUUAGCCCUUCCGGUGCCAGGAGCGCCACCUCAGUCGGGUACCCGGUUCCGUGGGAAGCUGCCCUUGGGUGCCCAUCAGCCCUCCCCGGAGGUAUCGGAGGUCGAGGUGCCUUCCCGGGUGGAAGGGCCGAGCCGAGGCCCACGACGCACUUCUACUCCGCGAGCCGGGUCUUCUGUGAGCGAGUGUAACUCCUCCGGUCUCGGGGACCAUGGAGGAGGUAACAAGAGGCGACGCCGUUCCUCCUCAAGCCAGCCUGAGAGGAACAGGUCUCGCCGCUGUCGGCACCGGUGCUCGUACUCUAGUGCCCGCCGCCAGAGACACCGUACUCAGAGUGCGUCCCGAGAGUCCCCGCACAGAGGCGCCAUGGCCACGGGCGCCGAAGGGAAUCCAGAGACAGCUCCUCUGACAUCUACCUGUCUUCAUCAUCCAGGUCGAAGUCUUGCGGCCGGAGAUGUCAUGGUAGAGACCGCUCCAGUCGUUCAUACGGCACCGUGCACUCGUCCAGGACUUCAGCAUCGGCGUGCAGCCAUCCCUCCCCGGGCCGCUCCGCACCACAGGAGCAACCGGCUCUGCCAGGCCCCUAUACGUCUCAGUGCCGGGCGGUUCCCUGGCAAGGACAAUGGUGCCAGUGGACACCAUGGCCUCAGGGACCCGCACAGCCAGGAGCCCACUCCGUGACGGGAGCCUCUCAGGCCCACUCGGUGUCGCCUCUCUGGCACCAUGAUCGGGCCACGGGUGCCGAACCACCAGCACCGACCCCGGGCCAGGGCCCGGACUUCGAGCCACAGAUGCUGCCGGUCGCUGAAGGCACUGUGCCACCUACCUCCCCGGCACUGGGCAAUUCAGUUGCGGUGCCGCCUCCGGCAUCUCAGGAGGACUUUAAGGCGCACCAGGAGCUGCUUAGGAGGGUGGCAGCAAACCUCCAGCUCCAGGCCGAGGAGAUGGAGGAGCCCUCGGACACUUUGUUUAAUGUCCUCACCUCCUCGGCACCGGGUUGUGUGGCCCUUCCACUG
rnacentral:lncRNA from 1 species